rnacentral:rRNA from 1 species
AUACGUAGGGAGCGAGCGUUGUCCGGAAUUACUGGGUGUAAAGGGAGCGUAGGCGGGAGUGCAAGUCAGAUGUGAAAUACAUGGGCUCAACCCAUGGGCUGCAUUUGAAACUGCAUUUCUUGAGUGAAGUAGAGGUAAGCGGAAUUCCUGGUGUAGCGGUGAAAUGCGUAGAUAUCAGGAGGAACACCGGUGGCGAAGGCGGCUUACUGGGCAUUUACUGACGCUGAGGCUCGAAAGCGUGGGGAGCAAACAGGAUUAGAUACCCUGGUAGUCCACGCUGUAAACGAUGAUUACUAGGUGUGGGGGGACUGACCCCUUCCGUGCCGCAGUUAACACAAUAAGUAAUCCACCUGGGGAGUACGGCCGCAAGGUUGAAACUCAAAUGAAUUGACGGGU